UAAUAGAUUGUAGCUUAGUCGGGAAAGCGUUAGAUUGAAUAUCUAAAAGUCCCUGGGGUUCGAAGCCGGGUUUCGGUAUCUUUAUUAA